AUGCUCUCGGCUGGAGAAUCUAAUCAACAAGCCAUCCCCGCUCAUGAACAAGUUGCUGUUACAGUAGAGGAUACAAGGUACGUUGAGGUUCAGGUUGCUGAUCAAGAGCGAGUGCCGCGCAAUUCGGAUGCAGCUGGGCCUCUCGAACUUCUGUGCGCCAUUGAUGAAGAUUGGGACUAUGAUGCUGCUGGAGAUUCAGUUGUUAAGGACAGAGCCCCCCAAUGUGAUGCAAAACGCAAGCGAGAAGCAACGGCUCUUCUAGUUUUCCAUCAAUCUGCUGGUUUCAAUUUCCUUCAGAAAAGGAGGCACGUGCAAAAAAGAGAGGGAUAA
rnacentral:rRNA from 1 species